GACGAACGCUGGCGGCGUGCUUAACACAUGCAAGUCGAACGCUGAAGCUCAGCUUUUGUUGGGUGGAUGAGUGGCGAACGGGUGAGUAACACGUGAGUAACCUGCCCCCUUCUUUGGGAUAACGCCCGGAAACGGGUGCUAAUACUGGAUAUUCACUGGUCUUCGCAUGGGGGUUGGUGGAAAGGGUUUUUCUGGUGGGGGAUGGGCUCGCGGCCUAUCAGCUUGUUGGUGGGGUGAUGGCCUACCAAGGCUUUGACGGGUAGCCGGCCUGAGAGGGUGACCGGUCACAUUGGGACUGAGAUACGGCCCAGACUCCUACGGGAGGCAGCAGUGGGGAAUAUUGCGCAAUGGGGGCAAGCCUGAUGCAGCGACGCCGCGUGAGGGAUGGAGGCCUUCGGGUUGUGAACCUCUUUCGCUCAUGGUCAAGCCGCAACAAUGGUUGUGGUGAGGGUAGUGGGUAAAGAAGCGCCGGCUAACUACGUG
rnacentral:rRNA from 1 species